UAGGACUAUCCUGGUCAAGAUUUUGCUAAAUUAAAAUAUGACUGUACACAGUUUUUGAACUGGAGUGGUCAAUCCCAUCUUGACACACACACCGACAAGUCAAGUACUUGACUACACCCAGUAGCCUUCCGUCACUGAAUUAGAAAUUCAGGUAGUCCAGUGCCUAAGUGUAGUGAGUUGCUUGCAAGUCACCGUGGUGGUCUC
rnacentral:lncRNA from 1 species